UACGUAGGGGGCAAGCGUUGUCCGGAAUCAUUGGGCGUAAAGAGCGCGUAGGCGGCCCUGUAAGUCCGCUGUGAAAGUCAAGGGCUCAACCCUUGAAUGCCGGUGGAUACUGCAGGGCUAGAGUCCGGAAGAGGCGAGUGGAAUUCCUGGUGUAGCGGUGAAAUGCGUAGAGAUCGGCAGGAACACCAGUGGCGAAGGCGGCCACCUAGCCCGCACCUGACGCUGAGGCGCGACAGCGUGGGGAGCGAACUGG
rnacentral:rRNA from 1 species